rnacentral:rRNA from 1 species
GAUUAACGCUGGCGGCGUGCCUAACACAUGCAAGUCGAGCGGCAGCGAGUUUUACACUGAAUUCUGGAAGCUUCUAGUUGAAAGAGAAGAUUUAUUCAAGAAUUUUGUGUAAAAUGUCGGCGAGCGGCGGACGGCUGAGUAACGCGUGGGAACGUACCCCAAAGUGAGGGAUAACGCAUCGAAAGGUGUGCUAAUACCGCAUAUGGUCUUCGGAUUAAAGCCUUCGGGCGCUUUGGGAACGGCCUGCGUAAGAUUAGAUAGUUGGUGGGGUAAUGGCCCACCAAGUCGACGAUCUUUAACUGGUUUGAGAGGAUGAUCAGUCAGACUGGAACUGAGACACGGUCCAGACUCCUACGGGAGGCAGCAGUGAGGAAUCUUCCACAAUGGGCGAAAGCCUGAUGGAGCAACGCCGCGUGCAGGAUGAAGGCCUUCGGGUUGUAAACUGCUUUUAUAAGUGAGGAUUAUGACAGUAACUUAUGAAUAAGGAUCGGCUAACUACGUG